UGGGGAAUAUUGGACAAUGGGGGCAACCCUGAUCCAGCAAUGCCGCGUGUGUGAAGAAGGCCUUCGGGUUGUAAAGCACUUUUAUCGGGAACGAAACAUUGUCGGCCAAUACCCGGCAAGACUGUCGGUACCCGAGGAAUAAGCACCGGCUAACUCCGUGCCAGCCGCCGCGGUAAUACGUAGGGUGCAAGCGUUAAUCGGAAUUACUGGGCGUAAAGCGUGCGCAGGCGGCUUUGCAAGACAGAUGUGAAAUCCCCGGGCUUAACCUGGGAACUGCAUUUGUGACUGCAUGGCUGGAGUGCGGCAGAGGGGGAUGGAAUUCCGCGUGUAGCAGUGAAAUGCGUAGAUAUGCGGAGGAACACCGAUGGCGAAGGCAAUCCCCUGGGCCUGCACUGACGCUCAUGCACGAAAGCGUGGGGAGCAAAC
rnacentral:rRNA from 1 species